rnacentral:rRNA from 1 species
GACGAACGCUGGCGGCGUGCUUAACACAUGCAAGUCGAACGGAAAGGCCCUGCUUUUGUGGGGUGCUCGAGUGGCGAACGGGUGAGUAACACGUGAGUAACCUGCCCUUGACUUUGGGAUAACUUCAGGAAACUGGGGCUAAUACCGGAUAGGAGCUCCUGCUGCAUGGUGGGGGUUGGAGAGUUUCGGCGGUUGGGGAUGGACUCGCGGCUUAUCAGCUUGUUGGUGGGGUAGUGGCUUACCAAGGCUUUGACGGGUAGCCGGCCUGAGAGGGUGACCGGCCACAUUGGGACUGAGAUACGGCCCAGACUCCUACGGGAGGCAGCAGUGGGGAAUAUUGCACAAUGGGCAGAAGCCUGAUGCAGCAACGCCGCGUGCGGGAUGACGGCCUUCGGGUUGUAAACCGCUUUCGCCUGUGACGAAGCGUGAGUGACGGUAAUGGGUAAAGAAGCACCGGCUAACUACGUG